UCUAUGAUGUUUCCAGAUGUUGAUGAACUCUGUCUCCUAUCAACUUCAGACAGCAUGCCAAUGGUCAGGGACAAUAUCUGAUGCACAGCAGAUUUCAGCAUCUCGUAUGUAGUGUCAUAUUUUAACGAAGCAAGGAUCUAAAUAGGAGUUGGGAAUUCAAUCAGAUGUUUCUGAUUGCAUCAGCCUCAGCCAGAAGAACCAAUGGUGAGGAAUCCCAAAAGUCUGCAGAUCAACAUAAUCUUGAAUGCUGCACAGUUCCCACCUUCGUCUAAGAUCAGAAUCUGAUAGGCAUUUACAAUUGAGCAACUCUACUCUGCAGACAAAGACUUUGCACCACUAAAGAACACAGAAGCCUCCUGCUUUCUCCAACGAAUUGGCUAAGUGACAAGACACUAUCCAUUCCCAGGAAGUGCUGGCAGCUGGCCAUAUUGGAGGAUGCAUAUUGCUUAAAAAUAGAAUAAAAACACCUGGCUACUUUGUAUAUAAGAAUGUGCUUUGCCAAUUUCCUGUUAACACUGACUACCUGCAGGGAUCCUAAGAAAAUGGCUUACAAGAAGUCACCUGCAUCCUCUCGUUUCUUUCCCUGGAACCAAUGCACAAUAUCACCACAGUAAAAGUUCUGUCAGCUGGGGAGAGUUGUUCUCUUCUUUGAAGCUAGCUCUUGUUUCUCUGAAGUCAGAUUCCUUAUUCCCAGGGCUCCACUCUGCAAUGCCAGCACAAACAUAUACCAACAGCUGCACAGCACUUUCAAAAGUUAGCAAGAAGCUAUCAAGCAAUUACUUAUUCCACAUAAGAUCCAGGACCAUGAUUUUCAUGUUGCAGGCCUGAACGUUGGGGAAUGAGGAAAUCAAAAAUGGUGAAUCCAGUCAGCAACUGCAGAAAUAUAUGCAAACACUCAUGUGGACUCAAAAAAGAGAGUUAUACCUGUAUAUAAUUGGGAAAAAAACAAUACUUCAUAGGUGAGAGCAAUGUGCAAAGCAUAUCCUUAAUCAAAUAUUUGUAUUAGAUAUUCUCCCUAUUGUGAGCCACUGAUAAAUUAUCCAAGCCUAAUAUUGGGUUGGACUUUUCCUGUUUUGUGUAGACCCAUUGAAAUCAAUGGGAUUUAAAUCAGUCAUGACUGUUUUUUUAACUGGUUUUAAUGGGUGGACUCUAAGCAUCUAAGCAUUUUAGCAUAAGCUAAGUCUGGAUACUACUCACAAUUUCAAGUUCAGGAUGCACCAGGUGUAUAAUAUAGUAGGAUAUGAACAUAGAUAUGUGGCUACUAUAUGAGUACACAUAAGAGGUAAUAGGAUAGUAAUAUGUACCUACAUGUGUGCUUGCAUCUCUUCAUCCUCUACAGUACUGCCACAUUAAAAGAGCUAUUCGAGGAACUCCAGAAAGGAGCACCUUUUGAUUUUGUGAUUUAUAAAGUCCUGGAGUCUUCUAGAGUCUGGGUCUUUCUAGUUUUGUUGGACUGCAACUCCUAUUAUUCCAUCUGAUCACCAGAAGUGGAUUCUCAUUAUACAGUUAAACAGUUUGAUACCACUUGAAUGGUCAUAGCUUCAUCCUACACAAUCCUGGGAUUUAAAGUUUGAAGAGACUGAUACAGCCAAAGAUAACGGGGGAAAAGAAAGCUUUUUCCCAGGCAAGCAGGCAACAACUUGAAGUUUCCUCUCUGUUGCAAUAAUUAAAAAUUGAUACCACAACACACACUGGAAUGUGGAAAACAAACAGAGGUCAGAACCAGCUGACCCAAGAUGAUCCAAUGUUCAAUCUCCAGGAUCUCCAACUUUGGUUUGGAAAGUCUUCUCUAUGAAAACGUGGCAGUUAUUGCCAAUUCAAGUAGACAAUGGAUACAUACAUUCAGUUAGAUGAAAACAGAUAUGAUUGUCAACGGAGCUGAUUGGACUCCAGUCAAGAAGAUACUAAUCCCAAUUUAGAGCAGGGGUGGUGAACAUGAUGUUUGACUCUCCAGAUAUUUUGAAGCACUUCCCAGACAUCUCAGCCACCAUGGCCAAUGUGUUUCGAAGGCAGCCCGUUAUAAAGUUACAUCGUUCCUGUUACCAUGUCGAAAAGAAGAACUUUUAUCCAGAUAAACUGGCUUGAGCAGCAGAAGAAUCCUUUUGAAGACAUUCUGGUUCUGGAAUAGGCUGAUUAUAAAAAAACAACAGCAAAAGAACCUCCACAUUUAUUUAACUUAUAAAACAAAGUGACAUAAGGAAACCAUGUCUGCUCGCCUGUCAAGGAGAUGUGGAAAUGUGCUGGCAUUCCAGCUGAAGACAUCAUUAUGAGUGAGAAAAUGCUCAAGGCCCUUUUUCAAAGUGGGUGCUGAAAAAGAUGCUUUCCUUCUUUGACUUCAGGGAAGGCUGAGAGCUGCCCCAGAAGACAGGUAUUGAGAGGUCAGAGGUUAGCAAGGCUGAAUGUGUGCGCGCACAUAUGUUUGAAUGUGUGUGCAUACACACUUGCAUUUGUCUUCAGCAUUUUACUGGGUAAUGGCUAAGCAAAUAAUCUUUUUUUAAAAUAAAGGAUGCACUGCAAAAGAACAUGAUAACGAAGAAAUCGAGAACAAAGGAUGCUCAGCCAGCAGUUAGUGAAUUCUGGGCAGCAGAACACUUUACAGAAGUGAUUUUAAUAUCUGACAAGUUGAGUUUCCUGAUCUUUGCUAUUGAUACUGAUGGGUAGCUUCAUAUGAUUUUAGAGAUUUGUAUCUAUUAAGACAUGCUCUAGUGUUCCUACAACCUGGGAACAAGUUUGCUGGAGAUCACUGUUCUUCUUCUUCUGUGAUAAAAAUUGAUAUGAACUGUUUUAAACUGCUAGCAGAUAAUUACUCUGAACACUCAAUAAGGAAAGCUAUAUCUUUAGAGCCUUCCUUUAUCUUUUUUUAAAAAAUCCACUAUCCCCCCUUCUUUUGUUUCUUUGAUUACUUGGAGCCUUGUAAUCAAACUCAGCUUAGUUUCAGGACCCUUGGGGCAGUAUCUCUUAGUUCCCUGUCAAGCUGCGUUGCAAAACAAUCAAUCUUGCUCUGGCGCUCUCUUGGCGGAAGUGCCACGACACCAAGAAUGCAAUGCUUUGCUCUUGCCAUGAAGCCUCAAUGACAAAAGUUUUUAUAAGAAGCUGACUGUAUUUAGGGUUAUGAAUAUGCAAUGACUCUCAUUAGUAUUGAAGCACAGGAGCAGGGGCUGACAUCUCCCCUUCGCCACUUUGAGCUGCAGCAGAAUUGUCUAAUGAAUUGUCUUGCUCUUUCACUUGCACAGGCUUUCUCUGUUGUGGCUCCCAGUUCCAAGGGGAGUUGCCCAGUUUGAGCAUACUAUUGACUGCAGAAAUUAAUUGCCAAGAACUGCUCUUGAUUUUGUUAAACAAUCUUGAGACAGUGUUUAAAUUGUCAAAACAGAAAACCAUUCCACUCCACAUGAGAUAAACUUAACCUGAGGGAGGGGACCCAUAUUUCAAUUAAUUUGGACACACACUGCUCAUACGUACAUGUGUACAAUGCCAGAGUUUGCAUAUUUCUCUAUAUAUGGGGAAGCACCAUACAGAUAUGCAUCCCCUCUCCAAAAAAUCCUCCUUUAAGGUCAACAGUGGGUGUAAUCAAGUCAUACAUAUCUGGCAUUCUAUUUGCUGGCACUUUGUCUUCUCAGUAGAACAAAGAGAGGUGACAGAAGGAUCUCCAAAUGGAAGCUAUUCAUACAGCACAAAGCUAUUUUGUGAACUCUUUGGGACUCUUUCUCACACAUUCUCCUCUCUUCCAUCCCAGCCCCUGCCCAACAUUUUGUGGUUAACACGUGCACAAUGUAACAUGAAUGUGAAACUGAUAAUAAUGUUUCCAGCAACAGAUUAAGAUAUCUGCCGUGAUGUGUGGUAUAUGAGAAGCUGCAAAGUAUGCUCAGCUACAUGGCUCAUCUGGAUAAUUUAAAUGCUUCUAUUCUUGUUAUAAUUUCCUCCCUGUUCUUUUUCUCUUCCUACCCCCUGCUUUUAAAAUAUAAAGGGAGUUUGGUGCUUUUGGCAGAUUGCAGAUGGGAAAGAAUAAAAAUUGAUAAGCUCUCCCAAAGCUUAAAAAAUAGGAGGACGAGUAGAAUUAAAAAUUUAGGCUUUUCAGGAAAAGAGUAGCUUCAGAUGCUCCUUAUUUCACUGAAUUGGCAAUGAAACUAGUUAGGCUGGAAGGAGAAUGAGCUGUUAACAUUGAUUCACAGGGGAUGGGGAAGGCAAAAUAAGAUCUCUGCUUACCCCUCAGCCCACCUCUUUCAGUGUUCAGAUUCAUAUUUCCAUCUACUUACAGAUGAGUGCAGCUGAAGAGCAAACACAAUUCUGACAAAAGUGGUGCAAGUAUCAUACAUCAAACACUUGUUACCUCACUUGGCCUUAGCAAUUGCACAUGACUAAGAAGAUGUCUGUGAUAAAAUCUGAAGAAAGAUGAAACCAAUCUGGGCCUUUUUAAAGGCCAUCAAUCAUUCUGUGCAACCAUAAUAUUAUUAGCUAAAAGUAAGCCUUGUUCUCCUACUUAAUGGACAUUGUAAACCCCAUCCUAUUCCUAUCCUGAGACCAGUGCUACCAUGGGAAAUCAUUUUUAUGGGCAAUAUCUUGGUAGGGAACCAAUCAGAUCUAAUCACAUAACAAGCUACUGAAUUAUUCAAUAUUCUCCCUAAAUUUGCAUUCUAACUGUUAUUUGCUAUCAGCUCCUAUUUCUACAAAUAUGUGAAUUUUUUACUUCCCUCCCUAUUAUAUUAAGAAGACAAAUGAAUGUGGGAAUUUUUCAUAAUCUGUACACUUUCAUUGGUUUGCAUUGAUGUCUACUACAUGUAAAUAACCAUGUAAGAAUAUUUGGUCCCUUUAAAAAAAGAACCCCAAUUUCACUGCUACUAAAUCCUUACUACUCUCAGCUGUAAAAAUAGCAGGCCCAAGCAUAGAAAAAGUGAAACAAUUGUUUUGGAAAUGUAGAAUGUUCAAAUGUACUAUGUAAAUAAUAACCAACAUGUCUCAUAGAUGUUACUGUGAACUCUGGAAUUUUAUUAUACGAAAAUAUUUAAGUUUUAAUUGCAAAUUGGGACAGAGAUUAUUUGAAGCCUGUAAUUAGCACAUAAAUUGGAGACUUUUUGAUUAAUGUGAAAACACCCAAGUAUUUUUGGAAUGAAUAUCUAAAUAUAAUGCAAUGUUUCUUGCUUUUAGUGAAUACUGUACUGUAAAACGUGAUUAAAUAAAGAAAGAAAUAGCUAUUUCAUGGA